AAAAAAUAAAAGUUCUUGUAGGGCACCCAGAAACAGUGACCACCAGUUCAGCACAGUAUUGCACACACACAGCAGUAUUGCACACACACAGUAUUACACACACACAGUAUUGCACACAUACAGUAUUGCACACAUACAGUAUUGCACACACACAGCAGUAUUCCACACACACAGCAGUAUUCCACACACACAGCAGUAUUCCACACACACAGCAGUAUUGCACACACACAGUAUUGCACACACACAGCAGUAUUACACACACACAGCAGUAUUACACACACAGCAGUAUUCCACACACACAGCAGUAUUCCACACACACAGCAGUAUUACACACACAGCAGUAUUCCACACACACAAUAUUGCACACACACAGUAUUGCACACACACAGUAUGCCACACACUCAGUAUUACACACACAUAGUAUUGCGCACAUACAGUAUUGCACACACACAGUAUUCCACAACACAGCAGUAUUCCACAACACAGCAGUAUUGCACAUACACAGUAUUGCACACACACAGUAUUGCACACACACAGUAUUCCACAACACAGCAGUAUUGCACACACACAGUAUUGCACACACAGAGUAUUGCACACACACAGUAUUGCACACACACAGUAUUCCACACACACAGUAUUCCACAACACAGCAGUAUUGCACACACACAGUAUUCCACACACACAGUAUUGCACACACACAGUAUUCUGUUUCUCCUGUGCAGUUGGACAAUGGGGGCGAUCGUGACUAACACUGCUAUAAUAUUAACGGACAAGCUGCUACUUGGAGGCAACUUCUUUCACUCCUGGGUGUGUUCCGAGCAGCAGCAUUGCUCACUUCCUUGGUACCCCCAUGUUUAAGCUCUUGAAGACCGGAAGACUCACUUUCUAAAGCUGGUGUGCCAUCUUACUCUUCCCACCCCACCCCCGACUCCCAGCAGUGCGAGUGCAAGAUGGUCCCCACUGCCCACUGUCUCUGCCUGGUUUCUUUUGUCUUUGCAUGGAUAAAUCACAGGCUAGGUAGCACAACUGAACAGACUUUCCCUCUCCCAUGGCAACAUCCCCAUCUAAUGCAAUCUGUUUCUUUGGCUUAAGGCUAUAUCACUCUAAUUUCUGCCUUUGUUUAUUGCCACCCCCCGAGUGUGUGUGUGUGUGUGUGUGUGUGUGUGUGUGUGUGUGUGUGUGUGUGUGGUGUACACUUGUAACCUUAGCAAUAGGAAGGCAGAGAGGCAAGAAGGUUGAGGUCUGAGGUCAGCCUGGGCAGCAUAGCCAGAGGCUGUCAGAACUGAAACAAGUGAGGCACAUGGCACGUGCUUCUUUCUCAGGACGGCACAGGCAAUUACAUCUGAAAAGCAGCCAGAUGAUUCAGGAUAAGCUUCUCGCCUCCAUGCACCUUUUGCCAUAUAAGGUAACACACAGGUUGUGAGAUUCGGAGUGGAGUGGAAUCACAUCGUGGUUUUGAACGAUGCUGGUCCCUUCCCGUGGGGAAAUUGUGCACACAUCCUUUGUCCAGCUUUCAAGCCCCUUGUUCCUCAUCAUUGAUUUGUAAGUUCCUUAUACAGCAGUGAGAUCGGAGCGGAGGAUGAAACAGGAAGUGGCAGGAACCCACUCCUCGUCUGGAUGACGUCACAGCAGAAUCUGUCGGUUGUGACUGUCGUGAAUCCCUGGAGUCUGCUGGAAAGUUUGCAGUUUCCAGACCGAGGCUUGUGCUGCUCGGUUCCUCUGACACACUGUGGUAGGAGACUAGGGACCUGUAACUGUGUGAGUGUGGGUGUAUUUACCCGUGCAUGCGCAUGUGGAGGACAGAAAUUGAUGUUUCGUGUCUUCCUAUAUUCGGU
rnacentral:lncRNA from 1 species